rnacentral:rRNA from 1 species
GACGAACGCUGGCGGCAUGCCUAAUACAUGCAAGUCGAGCGAACAGAUGAAGUGCUUGCACUUCUGACGUUAGCGGCGAACGGGUGAGUAACACGUAAGGAAUCUACCUAUAAGCGGGGGAUAACAUUCGGAAACGGGUGCUAGUACCGCAUAAUAUCUUCUUCCGCAUGGAAGAAGAUUGAAAGACGGCUCUGCUGUCACUUAUAGAUGACCUUGCGGUGCAUUAGUUAGUUGGUGGGGUAACGGCCUACCAAGACGAUGAUGCAUAGCCGACCUGAGAGGGUGAUCGGCCACAUUGGGACUGAGACACGGCCCAAACUCCUACGGGAGGCAGCAGUAGGGAAUCUUCCGCAAUGGGCGAAAGCCUGACGGAGCAAUGCCGCGUGAGUGAAGAAGGCCUUCGGGUCGUAAAACUCUGUUAUAAGAGAAGAACAAAUUGUAGAGUAACUGCUACAGUCUUGACGGUAUCUUAUCAGAAAGCCACGGCUAACUACGUG